GCCUGGGUGGCUCAGUCAGUUAAGCAUCUGACUUUAGCUCAGAUCAUGAUCUCAAGGUUCGUGAGUUCAAGCCCCGCAUUGGGCU
rnacentral:tRNA from 1 species